rnacentral:rRNA from 1 species
ACAAUCUACCUUUUACAGAGGGAUAGCCCAGAGAAAUUUGGAUUAAUACCUCAUAGUAUAUAGACCUGGCAUCAGGAUUAUAUUAAAGUCACAACGGUAAAAGAUGAGCAUGCGUCCCAUUAGCUAGUUGGUAAGGUAACGGCUUACCAAGGCUACGAUGGGUAGGGGUCCUGAGAGGGAGAUCC